rnacentral:rRNA from 1 species
GACAGAGGGUGCAAACGUUGCUCGGAAUCACUGGGCGUAGAGGGCGUGUAGGCGGAAAGGAAAGUCAGAUGUGAAAUCCCUGGGCUCAACCCAGGAACUGCAUUUGAAACUCCCUUUCUUGAGUACCGGAGAGGAAGGCGGAAUUCCUGGUGUAGAGGUGAAAUUCGUAGAUAUCAGGAGGAACACCGGUGGCGAAGGCGGCCUUCUGGACGGUAACUGACGCUGAGACGCGAAAGCGUGGGGAGCAAAC